ACUCAACAUAUCUAAAACUAAUUUGUCCAUAGGGUUUUUGUACUUGUUUAUACCUUUAUUCGUACUUUGUACUUUUCCUUGAGAAGUCUAAUUAGACCGCACGAGAACCAAUGUGGGUGACUUGAUUUACGUUUACUAGUCAGGGGUACGUUCUUUUUAAUAGUAAUCCUAAUCCUAAUCCGCUUCAAAGAAUGGGCGGGAAAAGGCGGUUUGUUAGAUUGACAAGGUACAAAAGUGUAUAGCUACUUAUGCAGCUGACUGUACCAAUAACAUAGCGUAGUCCAUUGUGUAGAAAUAAAAAAGCCCAGUUCAUCCACACAAUGCAACAUCUACCACUCAUUAAAACCACCCAUUGGCAUCCAGACCGGACUUCAAGUACCCAUCGGACACGUACGCGCACCCCGCGCCGCUGCCCACCGACGACCCCCGAGGCGCGGCGCUGGCGGCGGUCGACACUCCCUACAAGGCCAUCGUACAGGGGACCAAGUGGAAAGGAGACGUCAAAGUGUAUGAUGAGAAGUUUAAUUUUGGGCGGACAAGGACCGGCCAUUCCGUUACACUGAGGGCUGAGGUGGAGUGUAAGGUGGCAUACCUCACAGCGGAGAGUACAGAGGCGAUCCCGAUCCUCCUGAAGGGCGGCGUGGGCCACGACCACUUCACGGUGGUGGUGAAGGCCAAGCCGGAGCGGAGGCUGAAGGGCAGAGUGCGGGCGUACUGUCGCAAGGGACAGGGGAAGAGGGUGCCAGAAAUAUACAUCAUACCAACGACGCGUCGUACCACGACUGCUUCAGAUUAUUCAGAUACGAGUGGCAGUACCGACUGACAUCAGUAGUUACAUACGUCUCUAACGGAAGCUGAGUGAGCAUAAUUAAAAAAAAUAUGAAGUAGAAAGGAGUUUUAUUAAAAUGUUUGUAUUAGUUACCUACUAGUAUUUUGGAAAAUUAAUGCAAAAUACACAGGAUUGCAUCUCCGUGUAAAGUGGCUUAGGCCCAGUGAUUUCUGUGUGGGUUAUUUUCGAUAGAGUUAAAUUUCAGUUUUAUCUACCUACUGAUACACCACGGUCUAGGUCGGUAGUUGGUAGGAUCCUGUUAGUAGGUGAUACAUAUUGACGUUCUAAGCAUUUCUAGGGAAAAUUCCAUAAUUCACGUUUUUUUGGGGUUGGCUUUCAAAAACUUGCUGUUUGUUGUGUUACUUUUAGUCAGGGGAGUUCAUUUUUAAAAGUUGCUUACAUCGAUGAUUUGUACAGUCAGCUGCAUAAGUAGCUGUUCACUUUUGUACCUUGUCAAACUCACAAACUGCCUAUUAAAACAUUGACAAAUUGUUAUGUAGCUAGUUUGACAAGGAACAAAAGUGUAUAGCUACUUAUGCAGCUGACCGUACUUAUCACCUUCUAACGGGAUUAGGUACAUGAACUUAUAGGGAUAUGCAUGGAAGUAAAAAAAAAGAUUUACUUCCAUGGGGAUAUGUUCUAUUAAGCCUGAAGCUUAGCUAAAGUCA